UCAAUCUAGAGAGUGUAAUGCUAAGAGAAAUACCAUAUGAUUUCACUCAUAUGUGGAAAUUUAAUGAACAAAACACAUGAACAAAGAAAAAAACAGAAAAAAAGGCUCAACAAAUAAUUGUUUAAUAGAUUACUUAUCGGCGUUAAAAUCUUUUAACUCAUCUCAAGAUCCCCUGUGGUGAAAGAUAGUAAUUACAAUGCACAAACACCUACACAUGGAUGAAGAAAGGCUGUGAAUCGAGUCCCUGGAAAGUUUCUUUCUGCUGGGUUCAAACACAUUUUCCUACUUGAAAUUUGCUACACAGAGACAGGAUAUCAUCUCUAUUCCCCCACCUAUUUUGGCAAACGGAUCAUAUAGGUUUUAUUUUUUAAACAAUUUAUCCUAACAAAGUUCCACGAUAUCAAAACAAACCAACAGUGCUUAAUAAUGACAUCAUAGCGAGAUUUUCUUUAUUUUAUGCUUUAUUCAGAGUGAAAAAUUCAGCAGGAAAAAAAGUAUUUUAAAAACUUGUCUAUUUUAUUCUAGUUAUCUAAAUAACAGACUAAUACUAGAAGAAAAGUUCUCCAUUAUUCAGUAAUCGUUGCUUUUUUACAGAACAAUUAGAUUAACGUGAGCAAAAUGAUCUUUUUCAAUGGCAUGUUUUUGUGCAAGAAAUUUCAUCAGAAACAGAAAUCACAUAGGCCAUAUUCUAGAGACUGUGCUCAUUUCGAUGGGACGGAUGGUGAUGGGGGAGCAAAAGGGAGGUCAGAGAAGGAGGCGAGAGGACAUUGUCCUGCCUCUCUUGAGGACCAAUUGUAUAAGCCCUGGGACCCAGGUUGACUUACCUAUGCCUGAAACAAGCCAGUGUUUGAGACUCCAUCUUUCCUUCCUGUUUAAUUAAUACCACCACAAUACUUGAGCAGUGUAGAACCUCCCCCACCAUCUCAGCACCAAGACUUAAUUUUUAUUACCAGUUUACAGUAAAAUUUAAUUGGAGUACCUUACACAUUAAGGCUUUUGAUUAACAUAUUGCUGAAGUGGAGGUCUUUUAAUUAUUCAUCCAUUUAUUAAUAUAACAGUUACCUUAUGCCAGGCAUAGUCCCAUAGCAGAGACAGGUGACCCAGACAGUUUGGAAAGGCCUGGGCUGGGGCUUACUCCUUGAGAAACUGGUUUUAUCCAUCUUUGAAUUCCCAGUACCAAGCUAGAUGCCUGAUAUGGAAAUUACCUAAGUGUUUGUGGACUCCUGGAACGAGUGUUAUGGGAGCCCAGACAAGGAGCACCUAAAUGAAGGAGGAAGACAGAAGUGAGGGAAGACUUCCUAGGGGAGGGGAUGUAAUCUGAGUCUUAAAAGGUAAGUUGGCCAGGGUGGAAGAAACCCAUAUAAAGGCACUUGAGCAAUGAUGUACAGAAAGGGAGGCCCUAAUUCAAGAUCUAUGUGUCCUUCAAACACACACACACACACACACACACGCACACACACACGCACACACACGCGGGCUGACAUGCAGGACACAGAAGUAUGCUCUCUUUGCAAAUAGCAAUAACUAUGCUACUCUCGGUUUCAAGGACAUUGCAAUAAUUAAUGUGUGACAGAGAUGGGCUUUGUUAAGCUUGAGAAUGCCAGAGUUCUUCGGGGGAAAUUGACAAUACUGUGAUCUAUUGUGAUAUUUUUCACACUAUAUAAUUUGAGCUUGUAACUGCUUAACCAAUUAAAGAUUAAGCAGGCAGCCCUUACAUGCUA